CCAGACUCCUACGGGAGGCAGCAGUGGGGGAUAUUGCACAAUGGGGGAAACCCUGAUGCAGCGACGCCGCGUGAGUGAAGAAGUAUUUCGGUAUGUAAAGCUCUAUCAGCAGGGAAGAAAAUGACAGUACCUGACCAAGAAGCCCCGGCUAACUACGUGCCAGCAGCCGCGGUAAUACGUAGGGGGCAAGCGUUAUCCGGAUUUACUGGGUGUAAAGGGAGCGUAGACGGUUAUGUAAGUCUGGAGUGAAAGCCCGGGGCCCAACCCCGGGACUGCUUUGGAAACUGUGUAACUGGAGUGCAGGAGGGGCAGGCGGAAUUCCUGGUGUAGCGGUGAAAUGCGUAGAUAUCAGGAGGAACACCGGCGGCGAAGGCGGCCUGCUGGACUGAAACUGACGUUGAGGCUCGAAAGCGUGGGGAGCAAACAGGAUUAGAUCCCCGAGUA
rnacentral:rRNA from 1 species